UAGGGAAUCUUCGGCAAUGGGGGCAACCCUGACCGAGCAACGCCGCGUGAGUGAAGAAGGUUUUCGGAUCGUAAAGCUCUGUUGUAAGAGAAGAACGUGUGUGAGAGUGGAAAGUUCACACAGUGACGGUAACUUACCAGAAAGGGACGGCUAACUACGUGCCAGCAGCCGCGGUAAUACGUAGGUCCCGAGCGUUGUACGGAUUUAUUGGGCGUAAAGCGAGCGCAGGCGGUUUAAUAAGUCUGAAGUUAAAGGCAGUGGCUUAACCAUUGUUCGCUUUGGAAACUGUUAAACUUGAGUGCAGAAGGGGAGAGUGGAAUUCCAUGUGUAGCGGUGAAAUGCGUAGAUAUAUGGAGGAACACCGGUGGCGAAAGCGGCUCUCUGGUCUGUAACUGACGCUGAGGCUCGAAAGCGUGGGGAGCAAACAGG
rnacentral:rRNA from 1 species